AUAUUUGUUUUCUAGGAAUUUUAUGGUUUUUGUGUAAAAGGAGUUCUUUUAAAAUUAUUAUUCCAUUAAUACUAGUAUAUUGAGAUGCUAUUGGAAUAAGCAUAUAGAUGUGUCUCUCCAUAGUUUUUAACUUUUUUUCUUAUUAGUUCUGGUAGUUUUCUCUUGGUUCCCUUGGAUUUUUUUUAGGUGGGUAUCUCCCAGUUUGUUUUCCUUGUUUAUUACCUGUUUUUUUCCCCACUAAGCUGUCACCCCAGAAGAACAGGUCCCUCUCUGCCUGGGCACUGCCUUAUGUCACAGAGUAGAUGCUUGGGGCAUACUUAGGGAACAGAGACGCAUUUGGUUUUCAUUUUGUUUUUUCCAGACAAGGGGCGUGGGAGACAGUAUCUCUCCGUCUCUUUAGCUUGGGAACAUGUUGAAUUUUGUUGUCUUUACUGCAUGCGAGUGGGCUGGCUCAGGAUUCUAAUACUGAAGUGCCAGCCCCUGCGUGUGCAAAGUGAAGACAAUGAAAGUGCUCAGGUCACGGUGUUUUUAAGCACACCAAAUGAAAAAUGUAUACCAAGCAUUUCUCACCGUGGGAUACGUGUAGGUAGCCCAUGUCCAGGAAAUGCUUGCUGUCUUUUUAGUCCCUCAUGAAACGUGGAGGGGCCUUCUGAGCCUCAGUUUCUUCUCAGUGUCCGAGGCAGAAAGGAAUCCCUUCCCUGCGGAAUCACGGGGUGAUAUGGGAUGAAAAGACAGCAUGGAAUUUGAAAACAGUGACGUGUCAUGAGAAUAUUGUGAUUAUUUCCUGCAUUGCCCAAGAAAGAGCCCCUUCAGUGAAAAGAAGCUGGGAAGCAGUGUGUCCUGUGGGCAGAGAAUAGACCUGGGGCUGGACCAUCCUUCACUCACGGUGUUUACCAGCUCUGUGACUUUCGGCAGAUCACAAACCCCUCUGACCCUCAUCUUCGUUGUUAUUACUGUUCCUUCUGCAAAGUGAUAAUAACACCUGUUUCACGGGGUUACCGUGGGGAUUAAAUGAAAAGGAAUACAUAAAGACCCAGUUUAGCGUUUUUCACAGAAGUGGGUAUUUAAUAAAUGAUACCUAUUAAUAUUAUAUUUGUAUGAAAAGGAUUGGCAAGCCAUGAUUUAGAACAUUCUCUUUCCAAUUUUCCAUCAUCGAAAUAAUCACACUUCUCACAUCCUCACUGGCAGAUUUCACAGCUAGUGCAUUCAGGAAAAGUUAUUUAUUUGAAUAACAAAUUCUUUGCCCAUUUCCCAACCUGCGCAUUGGAGCAGAGGUUAGUGGAGGUGGGCAGCGUGGGGUGCAUGGAAGAAAGGGUGAUGGCGGUCAGAAAGCUUACUUGGGUAGGGCCCUCGCUGGGUUCCAGGCAUGCCCUCACUCAGCCUCAGCUUACAGAUAAGAAAGCAGAAGCCCAGAGAGGAUAGGUAACUUGCCCAAGGCCACAUACCUUUAGAGGUAGAGGCCAGAAUUGAGUCAGCAGCUGGACUUCAGAAUCUUCUACGACAAUGGAAGAACCCUAAGCCUCCAGUGUGCUGCUUUUCAUGGGUUUAGGUUACUUGCUCACAAUGCUUUUUUGAAUGAAUGAAGAAUCAGUGAAUAAAUGCAUAAACAAAGGUAGUCCUCCUCGGAAGAUCCCCAUAAACAAGACCAUACGAGUAUGCUGUGAGACCAUAUACUUAUAGAAGCGUAGGAGUGUGCUGUGAACAAGACUACAAGGGACGCCCAAGAGAACCAUGCCAUUUACUUUCAGCCUGGAACUCUAGGUAAUGAUCACUCUUAGCAUCUCUUCUUGGCAUAGGUUUCCUCCUAUUAAUUAUACUGACCUAUGUGGUUGGCUGGCUAGCUGCUCAGCAAACCAAGGCUAUGUUUCCCAGCUUCUUUCCCAUCAAAGUGUGCUAUGACAAGGAUUCUUGCCAAUGGGAUAUGACCGGAAUGACGGGUAUCACUUUCUGGCUGUGACGAUUGAGAGGUAGGCGUGUGCCUUCUCCUUCCUUCCAUUUUCCUCAUCUGCUGAUUGUAGGUGGGACAUCCGGAAACCCCAGAGGGUGAGGACAGAGCCACAGUGUAGAAGGGGCCCAGGUCGUCGGAAGCCUCCUUGCCAACCAGCAACAUCCGUGUUGGAUGUUCCCAUGAGCCAUACGACAUUUAUGGUGUUAAACCACCGAAAUUUGGGGAUGUAGUACAGCUCUGAACAUAAUUUCACUCAAACCCCUGAUUCCUUCUGAAUUAUCGAAUCUCCUCAGAGAGUUCUUACAGCUGCUCCCAGGAGCCUCCAUGAACUGGAUCUCAGGACCGGGGGCAGAAAAGCUGGACUCAUCCUUCUACUCAGGAAUGUGAAGACUUCCUUCAGGAGUUCGGACGGCUUCUAAGGUAAAUGAACAAAGGCCAGAAGUGUCUUUUGCGCAAUAAAAAUAUAAGGAAUGAAAUAACAAGUGGAGGCUAAUCCUGACUGGCGAACGAAGCAGUCACAACACACACAGCUAUGAGAUGCCCCAAAUGCUGACAAGAACGAUUGUGAAGAUGGUCAACCUCUGAUGGCCUUCCUGGAAUCUCCCUAGAGAUAGCCCUCGAGAGAAAUCCCUACCAAGGAGACCCUUUCUUCCAGGUGUCUCCACUGGGAAAGCGAGCUGUGCAGAUAACUCAACAGAACCAAAGGCUAAAGGAAGACAAAAACGAAUUCCAGUAUUUUCUCUGAGUGUAAGGAAAAAAGACCCGAAGAAAAUCCUAUGGUCAAUGGACUAGGAAAGGAAGGAAACUCUGGCAUUCCAACUUAAAGGAAC